CCUACGGGGGGCUGCAGUCGAGAAUCUUCGGCAAUGGGCGAAAGCCUGACCGAGCGACGCCGCGUGCGGGAUGAAGGCCUUCGGGUUGUAAACCGCUGUCAGAGGGGAUGAAGUGUCGACGGGCUAUCUCGUCGAAUUGACAGAUCCUCAGAGGAAGGGUGGGCUAAGUUCGUGCCAGCAGCCGCGGUAAGACGUACCACCCGAACGUUAUUCGGAUUCACUGGGCUUAAAGAGUCCGUAGGCGGUCAAGAAAGUUGGAUGUGAAAUACCUCGGCCCAACCGAGGAACGGCAUUCAAAACUACUUGACUCGAGAGAUACAGAGGUGAGCGGAACUGAUGGUGGAGCGGUGAAAUGCGUUGAUAUCAUCAGGAACACCGGUGGCGAAAGCGGCUCACUGGGUAUCUUCUGACGCUGAGGGACGAAAGCUAGGGGAGCGAACGGGAUUAGAUACCCGUGUAGUC
rnacentral:rRNA from 1 species